UCCCUGGUGGCUCAGAUGGUAAAGAGUCUGCCUGCAAGGCAGAAGACCUGGGUUCCAGCCCUGGGUCAGGGAG
rfam:Ovis aries breed Texel chromosome 18, whole genome shotgun sequence.